UUUUGAGGUCUGGCCUGCUCACUGACAAGUUUUAAAGAGCCGCGGUAUUUUGACCGUGCAAAGGUAGCAUAAUCAUUAGUCUCUUAAUUAGGGGCUGGAAUGAAUGGCUUAACGAGAAAUUAACUGUCUCUUAUUAAAUAAUAGAAUUUAACUUUUAAGUUAAAAGGCUUAAAUUUUUCUUAAAGACGAGAAGACCCUAUAGAGCUUGAUAUUUUAUUUUAAUAUAAUUUUUAGAUAGUUUUUUUAUAUUUUAAGAUAAUGUUUUGUUGGGGUGACAUGAAGAAUAGAUAAACUCUUCAUUAUAAAAUCAUUGAUUUAUGUUUAUUUUGAUCCAUAAUUUAUGAUCAUAAGAUUAAGUUACCUUAGGGAUAACAGCGUAAUUGUUUUUGAGAGCUCAUAUUGACAAAGCAGAUUGCGACCUCGAUGUUGGAUUAAGAAUAAUUUUGGGUGCAGGAGCCCAGUAAUUAGUCUGGUCGACC
rnacentral:rRNA from 1 species